GACAACAACUUGGUUAGCUGA
rnacentral:siRNA from 1 species